AUGACACAUCUUUCAGGGUUGGACAGGAGAACCAGUGCCAUUAUUACUGUCCUGAAAAAAAUGAGUUCGUACCAUUCACAGUACAGCUCCUCUUUUCAGCUGGGAGUUAAAGACAGAUUUCCAAGUUUCACGGGAGCAUCAUUAGCAAAUUCAAUGAGAGAUCAACCAUGGAGGACGUGGAGGAAGAACAAAAAACCUUAGAUACUUAACUAUAAAUUGUAACUGUAAAGAAUAUAGUUAAGUAUCUGAUCAACCCAGACUACUCACAGAAGCACAUGAUAUUGGCCAGGGUUGAUGUGGGAGUAUGCUGAAAGCUGACUUGAAAAUUUUUCACAGACAGAUUUCUUUAAUAGACUCAAACUUGCUAAUGCAGUCCAAGAGGCUGUUACUGUAAGCAUCCUUGAUGAUCAGUGGGCAUCUCAAUGUGGUUGAAUGUCCUCAAGAUUUUUCUCCCUGAGAUUUUCUGAUGAGCCUGUUAAAAAUCCAUGAACAGCCAGGCUGUGAAUGGUGAGCAGCAGGUGCUAAGAUAACUUGGGCUAUAGAGUGAGAGAAAAUCUUUUGUUCCCACCAUCAUGAGGUGUUAAGGUUAUAAAACUUGGAGCUGAAAAUCAGUCAACAAUAACAAAAACCUGCUGCACUAACCAAAAUAGAUUCUAUAUGUGAAAAAGAAAAUUAUUUUUUCUCACUCAGUUUGUGCUCCAAGGGGAAAAAAACACAGGAAAUACUGGGUGAGUGUUGCAACUAUCUGCAGUUAAUGGUAAUGCUAAAUGGAACACUAUUAUUUUAAGUAAUUACAAAGACUUUUCAAAAGGCUUCAAUAAUGGUUUCAGUAAUUUUUAACCCUAGCUUUGGAUUGCAAAUACAGAAUACCAGACCACCUGAUCUGCCUCUUGAGAAACCUGUAUGCAGGUCAGGAAGCAAGAGUUAGAACUGGACAUGGAACAACAGACUGGUUCCAAAUAGGAAAAGGAGUACGUCAAGGCUGUAUAUUAUCACCCUGUUUAUUUA
rnacentral:lncRNA from 1 species